rnacentral:RNase_P_RNA from 1 species
UCAACAGGCCGGCCUGUCGCUCCCGCAAGGGGGAGGAAAGUCGGGACAACACAGAGCACCAUACUUCCUAACGGGAAGGCGCCAUUUACGAAUGGUGACAGCAAGUGCCACAGAAAAUAACCGCCCAAACGGGUAAGGGUGAAAACGUGGGGUAAGAGCCCACGCUGCUUUAUGGCGACAUAAGGCAGGGGUAAACCUUAUGGGUUGCAAGGCCAAAUAUGCCGGUGUUUGAGGGCUGCUCGUCCGAUGCCGGUGGGUAGGCUGCUUGAGUUAUGCAGCGAUGUAUAACCCAGAUAAAUGACAGGCACUCGUCCGACAGAAUCUCAGACGGGUACAGAAUCCCGCUUACAGGCCUGUUGAACAU